UCCGGUUGAUCCUGCCGGACUUGACCGUAUCGGGUGAGACUAAGCAUGCAAGUCGAACGCCCCAAGCCACGGUGGGGCGUGGCGAACGGCUCAGUAACACGUUGUCAAUCUACCCUCAGGACGGGGAUAACCUCGGGAAACUGAGGCUAAUCCCCGAUAGAGGACACCGCCUGGAAUGGUGUGUCCUCCAAAAGACACCAAUGCCACGCUCAUUGGUGUCGCCUGAGGAUGAGACUGCGUCUGAUUAGGUAGUUGGUGGGGUAGAGAGGCCCCAGGCCCUACGGGGCGCAGAGGCGCGAAAACUCCGCAAUGCACGAAAGUGUGACGGGGUCAACCCGAGUGCCAACUCAAAAAGUUGGCUUUUCACCGGUGUAAGCAGCCGGUGGAAUAAGGGGAGGGCAAGGCUGGUGCCAGCCGCCGCGGUAAAACCAGCUCCUCGAGUAGUCAAGACGUUUAUUGGGCCUAAAGCGUCCGUAGCCGGUCCAGUAAGUCUCUGGUCAAAUCUAACGGCUCAACCGUUAGACCGCUAGAGAUACUGCUGGACUCGGAGGCGGGAGAGGCCGAGGGUACUCUCAGGGUAGGGGUGAAAUCCGAUAAUCCUGAGGGGACCACCAGUGGCGAAGGCGCUCGGCUGGAACGCGCUCGACGGUGAGGGACGAAAGCCAGGGGAGCGAACCGGAUUAGAUACCCGGGUAGUCCUGGCCGUAAACGAUGUGGACUAAGUGUGUAGGGUGGCUACGAGCCACCCUAGUGCUGAAGGGAAGCCGUUAAGUCCACCGCCUGGGGAGUACGGCCGCAAGGCUGAAACUUAAAGGAAUUGGCGGGGGAGCACCACAAGGGGUGAAGCUGCGGUUUAAUUGGACUCAACGCCGGGAAUCUUAUCGGGAGCGACAGCAGAAUGAAGGCCAGGCUGACGACCUUGCCAGACGAGCUGAGAGRAGGUGCAUGGCCGUCGCCAGUUCGUGCCGUGAGGUGUCCUGUUAAGUCAGGCAACGAACGAGACCCUCGCCCUUAGUUGCCAGCGGAACCCCAAAAGGUUGCCGGGCACACUAAGGGGACCGCCACCGACAAGGUGGAGGAAGGUGAGGGCCACGGCAGGUCAGUAUGCCCCGAAUCUCCCGAGCCACACGCGGGCUGCAAUGGCUAGGACAAAGGGUUCCGACACCGAAAGGUGAAGGUAAUCCCCCAAACCUAGUCUCAGUUGGGAUCGAGGGCUGCAACUCGCCCUCGUGAACAUGGAAUCCCUAGUAACCGCGUGUCAUCAUCGCGCGGUGAAUACGUCCCUGCKCCUUGCACACACCGCCCGUCGCUGCACCCGAGUCGGGUCUGGAUGAGGCGUGGUCCUCUGGGUCGCGUCGAAUCCGGGUUCGGCGAGGGGGCAGAAGYCGUAACAAGGUAGCC
rnacentral:rRNA from 1 species